UUGUUCCCUGAGCUUGUUCAAAACGUGUGUGCGAGUGUGUGUGUGUGUGUACGUGUGUGUGUGUGUCUGUGUGUGUUCUUAGCUUGGAUUGCCCCGAAAGCAGGCCUGUGACAAAGAUGUGAGUGCAGGUAAUUCACCUGGGAGAUGAUCUCAGAACACCAGGAGGGGAGUAGGAAAGAGAGAGAAGGGGAGGAAAACAAUACAAGCUGCAGCAUCAAGCAUAGAAAGAGGAAUGCACGGAAAGUGAAUGAAACAGAGACCAGGUUCUCAGGAGGUGCACUCACAAGCAAAUUAAAACAACAGGAAAUGUGCACUUCAAAUAGAGGAACUUGAAACAACCAGGAUCCUUUGUGGCCAAGAGAAAUGCAACCAAAUACCCCACGAGCCCUUUCUUCUCAGCCAGGCGUUGGAAGCUGUUCGCGAAGGUUCAGGUUCAGGUCACAUUAUUGACUUUUGAGCUCUUGACUCAGAUGUCAAAUCCUGGGAAUUGUGUUGGACCCAAUGGACAGCGGUGUUUUCUCAGUGCAUCACCACUGGGUCAUCUGAGGCAGAAAACAACAGGAGCUUCUGGCCAUACGGAGUUGCCCAGCUGGGGAGGGAUGCAGAUGCCAUAAUGAGAGGCAAUGUGAUUGUCUCCUGUUCACACCCCAUGUUUCUCUCCCACCUGGGCAAUUGCUUGUUGUCCAAAGACCUUGAGAUCAUGGAGGGCUGUCGAGAGAGUUGGAACAGAGCAAGGAGCCCCAGAGAAAAGCAAAGAAAGGGGAUUCUCCUGCUGGUCACAUGUAUUGGAAGAGGUACAGGCUGUGCCACUGUAACAGGAGACCCCAUAUCCAGCGGCUGGCACAAGACAGAAGUUCACUUCUCCCUCAGGUAGAUAAUUUUCCAUUCUCAAAGCCUGGCUUCUGUCUUUCGGUGCAAAGUGGCUGCUUUAGCUUCUUUAUCCCUCAGCCAGUGAGAAGGAAGAAGAGGGCUCCUCUCCUUUUGAACCCAGAGGACUGUUCACAUCCUUUCUGCUCACAUCACAGUGGGCAGAAUUUAGUUCUAUGCCCACAAGAACUGAAAGGGAUCCUGGAGCUGUAUCUGCACCUUCGACUAAAGAAGGAGCAAAUGUAUUUUGACAAACAACUAGCAACUCCUGCUGUUUGAAGUCUUUCCUUUUGCUGGUAGUUUUAGCAAACUCAGGGUGGGAGGGCAUGUCAAAGAGGCAUCACCUCUUGGGUAACUCUGAUUUAUUGGCAUUCACCACCCAGGGCCAUUUCAUUAUGAGGUCAGUCCUGGCUUAGUAACAAAGAGAGUUGUAAUGGGUAGCAGUGCCGGCCUUCAGCCUGGGAUUGGAGAGGAGUGACAGCCACUGUAUGUAUUAGAUGCUCCCUGUGUAGGGGUU
rnacentral:lncRNA from 10 species